AUUACUCCUACGGGAGGCAGCAGUAGGGAAUCUUCGGCAAUGGACGAAAGUCUGACCGAGCAACGCCGCGUGAGUGAAGAAGGUUUUCGGAUCGUAAAACUCUGUUGUUAGAGAAGAAUGUUGAUUAGAGUGGAAAAUUAAUCAAGUGACGGUAUCUAACCAGAAAGGGACGGCUAACUACGUGCCAGCAGCCGCGGUAAUAAU
rnacentral:rRNA from 1 species